AGUGAACGCUGGCGGUGGGCCUAAUACAUGCAAGUCGAGCGAACAGACAAUGAGCGUGCUCCUUUAAGGGUGGCGAGGGGCGGGCGAGUGAGACGUAGAUAGGCUUCUUAUAUUACGGGGAGAAUUUCGUGAGGCCGGAUCUAAUACCGGAGAAUAUGUUGAACGGCAGGGAGCAGGAGAUAAUGGCGGUUUUGCUGGCUCUUAUAGAUGAUGCCGGGUCGAAUUAGCUAGUUGGUAAGGGAACGGCCUACCAAGGCAACGAUGCGUAGCCGACCUGAGAGGGUGAUCAGCCACACUGGAACUGAGACACGGUCCAGACUCCUACGGGAGGCAGCAGUAGGGAAUAUUCCGCAAUGGGCGAAAGCCUGACCGAGCAACGCCGCGUGAGUGAUGAAGGUCUUCGGAUCGUAAAACUCUGUUAUUAGGAAAGAACAACUGUGUAAGUAACUAUGCCCGUCUUGACGGUACCCAAUCAGAAAGCCCCGGCUAACUACGUG
rnacentral:rRNA from 1 species